rnacentral:rRNA from 1 species
UCCAGACUCCUACGGGAGGCAGCAGUGAGGAAUAUUGGUCAAUGGCCGCAGGGCUGAACCAGCCAAGUCGCGUGAGGGAGGACGGCCCUACGGGUUGUAAACCUCUUUUGCCGGGGAGCAACGGGCGUCACGUGUGGCGCCACUGAGAGUACCCGGAGAAAAAGCAUCGGCUAACUCCGUGCCAGCAGCCGCGGUAAUACGGAGGAUGCGAGCGUUAUCCGGAUUUAUUGGGUUUAAGGGGGCGUAGGUGGAUUGUUAAGUCAGUUGUGAAAGUUUGCGGCUCAACCGUAAAAUUGCAGUUGAAACUGGCAGUCUUGAGUACAGUAGAGGUGGGCGGAAUUCGUGGUGUAGCGGUGAAAUGCUUAGAUAUCACGAAGAACUCCGAUUGCGAAGGCAGCUCACUGGACCGUAACUGACGUUGAGGCUCGAAAGCGUGGGGAGCAAACAGGAUUAGAUACCCUCGUAU